ACGAACGCUGGCGGCGUGGAUAAGGCAUGCAAGUCGAACGAUAAGUUUAACAUUGAGGCUUCGGCUGAUUUGUUUAACCGAAAGUGGCGAACUGGUGAGUAAUAUAUGAGUAAUUUGCCGAAAAAUGGGGAAUAACAUUUCGAAAGAGAUGCUAAUACCGCAUAAUACCAUAUCUUCAUAAGAAGAAUUGGUUAAAGGGGGCCUCUCCUUGGAAGCUCUUGUUUUUCGAUAAGCUCAUGUCCUAUUAGCUUGUUGGUAGUGUGAUGGACUACCAAGGCAAAGAUGGGUAGCCGGCCUGAGAGGGUGUACGGUCACACCGGAACUGAGACACUGUCCGGACUCCUACGGGAGGCUGCAGUCGAGAAUCAUUCGCAAUGGACGAAAGUCUGACGAUGCGACGCCGCGUGAGUGAUAUGAAGGCUUUCGAGUCGUAAAACUCUGUCAUGGAGAAUGAAAUGUGUAUAUUUUAAUACAAUAUACAUUUGACAGUACUCCAAAAUGAAGCUCCGGCUAACUUCGUGCCAGCAGCCGCGGUAAUACGAAGGGAGCGAGCGUUGUUCGGAUUUACUGGGCGUAAAGGGUGUCUAGGUGGUUUUGUAAGUUGAAUGUGAAAUCCCUUGGCUCAACCAAGGAAUAGCAUUCAAAACUGCAAUUCUAGAGUGUGAAGAGGAAAACGGAAUUCCAGUGUAGCGGUGAUAUGCGUAGAUAUUUGGAAGAACACCAGUGGCGAAGGCGGUUUUCUGGUUCAAUACUGACACUGAAGCACGAAGGCUAGGGGAGCAAACAGGAUUAGAUACCCUGGUAGUCCUAGCAGUAAACGAUGUGCACUAGAUUUUGGUUAUAUCGACAUAAUCUGAAUCGUAGCUAACGCAUUAAGUGCACCGCCUGGGGAGUACGACCGCAAGGUUGAAACUCAAAGGAAUUGACGGGGACCCGCACAAGCGGUGGAGCAUGUGGUUUAAUUCGACGCAACGCGAAGAACCUUACCCAGACUUGACAUGUAUUGGACCGUUCAUGAAAGUGAACUUUCCUUCGGGACCGAUACACAUGUGUUGCAUGGCUGUCGUCAGCUCGUGUCGUGAGAUGUUGGGUUAAGUCCCGCAACGAGCGCAACCCUUACUCUUAGUUGCCAGCAUGUAAUGAUGGGGACUCUAGGAGGACUGCCAAUUAGAAGUUGGAGGAAGGUGAGGAUGACGUCAAGUCGUCAUGGCCCUUACGUCUGGGGCUACACACGUGCUACAAUGGCUAGUACAAAGAGUCGCUAUACCGUGAGGUUACGCUAAUCUCAAAAAGCUAGUCUAAGUUCGGAUUGAAGUCUGCAACUCGACUUCAUGAAGCUGGAAUCGCUAGUAAUUGCAGAUCAGCUACGCUGCAGUGAAUACGUUCCUGGGUCUUGUACACACCGCCCGUCAAGCCAACCGAGUUGGGUGCACCCGAAGCCGUAAAUCUGACUUCUUCGGAAGAGGAAAACGUCCAAGGUGUGUUCGAUAAGGGGGACUA
rnacentral:rRNA from 1 species